rnacentral:lncRNA from 1 species
UAACGGUGGUGUUCGUACGGUCAGAUGAGUGACGUCAGUGGUUUUAAUGGAGUAAAUAGUAGCGGAGGCUAGGGUUUCUUAUUCUGUAUAUUUACAUGACGGUUGAUUAACUAGGGUUACGCCAUAAUAUUGUAGAAAUGGUGGUGGUUUGCUCACACCCGGUGUAUGAAGAUGAUCUAUGGCAGGAAAUUUUAUCCAUUUUAUAAACAACUAUGUGCCUAAAACCCAAGAUCCCUGCUCUGUGGUUUUUUGUGGGUGGCCGGAAAGUUGAAGGUGGCCGGAUUUCUUCUUACAAGCUGGCAUGAACACGGGGUGGUACCACCAGCCCAUCAGUUGUACCGCAGCAGUUUAGGAAGAGAGAGGAACACGUUGCAAAAAAUUGAACGUGGCAAAAAACUAAAUUAUGAAGACCCCAUACUUAUCCUUUCCUUGCCAAGUGGAAUAUGAAGGAGAAAGAAAGGGAGUAUGUUGAG